GAAACCACUGCGCGAGGAUUCGCUGAUAGACGCUUCAGACUCCGAGACAAGACCGAAGGCUGCUGUUCAAGGCAUUCAUGAUCAAGAACUGGGCAGUGGCGAAUCAAGAGUGAAGCGUCAGGAUUGUCCGUAUUGUGGAUCAAACACUAAAUGAUGUCAGCAUCAGGUCAAACGUGCGAUUAUGUGUGACUUCUUUGGAUGAAAACAACAGCUAUGUGGGAUGAAAGAUCAUUUUAUAUAAUUAAUAAAUGGUACAAU